UAAUCCAAAUGAAGCCAAACUAUUGUUUCAUUCUCCAAAAUAUAAUAAAAAUAAUAACUUAAUCCCGCGCAAGGCGCGGGUCUUAUCCUAGUUUUAUAUAAUAGGGAAAAUAAACUAAACCCAAAUCAGAAUUGGUAUCCGACCGAAGAUGUAAAAAAUACCCGAAUCUGUCUAUCUAUCUAUACUAAUAAAAGAGACUUUUUGAGGCUCCAUGGAGCAUUCAUAUCAUCGAAAAAUAUUUUUUCCGAAAGAUCACAUGUGGCGUUAUUACUAAUUUAUAAAAAAUAAAAGGGGAAUUGUCACUAAUACCACUUUCCUAAUACCACUUUUCAACUUUACACUUUUCAAAUUUACCAUUAAAAUUUUAAUGACUAAAGUACCAUUAUACCCCUCAUUUCAUUAAUUUAACCUAGAUCUAUUCUUCUCCAAAUGUCUGUCACGAGAUGAAAAUGAGAUCAAAUUGAGACGAGCUCCAACGAGAUCUCCGGCAAACUCGGCGAUCUCCGGCAAACUCGGCGAGCUCCGGCAAAUUCGGCGAUCUCCGGCGAACUUGGCGAUCUCCGGCGAACUCGACGAUCUCCGACGAACUCGACCGGAUUGGGAGAGCGUGGCGGCGAGUGGACAUCCCGCCGUUCCUCCGCCGGCAUUAUGUAGUCGUAGUAAUCCUCCGAUGCUAAAUCGGUCACGUUCGUCACGAAUCGCAUGCCGAGAAGUUCUCCGGCAAAGCUGACAGACUCGACAAGCUAAGACGAACGAGACGAUCUCUCUCCCAACGCCUAAGAAACACUAACAAAGGUAAGAUGAUAGUAUAUGGUGAUUUUUGCCUCUUUCUGUAAUUUUAGCUUGAUUUAUCAAAAUCGAUAUGUUUCUAAGAAAGAAGACGAAGUUUUUCAAGUGAAGUUUUCAGAUCUCAAAUUUAUAAGAUCUUAUAAAUUGGGUCUUUUCAAAUCUUACUGUUGAUCUGUUAGCAAUCAAAAGACACAAAGCUUAACGUAAGAGUACAAUUAUUGAUUUGGUUGAUUUAUUGUCAUAGUUUUCAGAUUUAUAUAAUUAUUUAAUUCAUGAGAAGGUACUAACCUAAGAGUAUAAUUAUUCUAUGAUUACUUCUUCUCUUGGUUGAUUUGGUGAUGUUGCAGAGAAUUACAAAUGUGUGUUGUCAGCUUUUGGAUUUAAAGGAUGUUGUGGAGAAUAUGUGUGGUGAUAUGCAUAUCUAAGUAUCUCACUUCUUUAAGAUUUUGAAAAUUUACGAGGUUGGUGAGCUGUUUGAAGAGGCAAGAGAGACUCUGAAGAAGAAUGUGGUUUGUGCUAUCAAAGAAUUACGUAUUUAUAACGCUUUAUAAAAAUUGCAGAGUUGGCUUCUUAGUACAUUCUUCUCUCUCAUCUUAUUUAGACAUCUCUUAUACUAAAACAAUUGUAUCUCUCUUUUAGUAGUUGCAUAGUUGAAGAUAUUAGUUGGACAUGUAAGUGAGUUUGGUUUCAAUUGUUUCUUUUAUAGAAGAGUGAGAUAUGGAGAAGCCUUGAUGUUCUCAGACUAUGUUAAAGCAAUAUACCCCUUGUUGAAGGACGUGGCUCUUUCACCAGAUAUGUCUUUUUUGUGUUGAUUGUCUUUUGGAGGGAUUUUAGAAAAAUUACCUUAUAAGCCAUUGUAAAUAAAUUUAUAAACGCUUAUAAAUCGCUUUGAGUUUCUUACACUCAUUCUGCCUAGCAUUCCUCACAAGACUUCUCAAGUUCAAACAUUUAUGUGUUUUGUAUAGACAUAUACAAUCAACUCUUGUUUAAAAACUUCUUAAUAAAAACUUAUAAAUC